AAUAAUUUCAACAACCGAAUGAGCGUAGAGUAGAUAAUAUUAGACUUUUAAGCUUAGAAGAUCGUAGUCCGGACUCUUCGCAGAAGAACUCAAGAGUGUAGGAAGUAAUUGUACAAUAGAAACAGAAUAUGGAUAACAUUUCUUUUGAGCCAAGUGUGUAGUAGCAGAGACAAAAGAAAGGCACCCGUCACAGAUCUGAGGUUGAGUCACUUAAACGAAGACGUCGAGACCACUCCAUUAUCUUUAAUAAGACCAGCGCUUGACAUGAUGAGUGAGAAGGAAUUAGAGGAAGUUCAAAAAUUUGUACCUGGGAGGUUGUCCACUGCUGGAUUUCAUGUUUCACGUGAAAGUCAGCCCGGACACGGAUUAUUGGAGGUAUUUGAACAGAUUUCAUGUGAAAGUCAUCCCGGACCCGGAGUAUUGGAGGUAUUUGAAUUCCCGACUCUAACGUUCUCAGAUUUUGGUGACACUGUGGUAGGUGAAUUGGUGACCAACAAAAAGAAACUAGUAAGUAUGAGCACAAAGUAAAAACGCCCUACUACGAUACACCUCCUUUCAAUCUUUUGGAAUAUUAAUUGACGAUUCUUUCAAAUGGAUUUUGAAUCUGGCAGAGUGAGGUAUCUGAGCUUCGUGACGGAAUAGAAAAGGCUCAAAAGCUACUUGUCGCCUUAAUUAAAGACCCCCACAAGUCGCUCGAGGACGCUCGAUCGUCAGCAUCGGUUAUGAUUUCAGGCUUCAAAGAAGAGCUAAAAACCCUGAAACGCCGGUUUACGUCAUUUGAGGAUCGGAUGGGGAAGCAGCAGGAGCAGCAGCUGCAGCAGCAGCCCAUACUUCUGACCUCACAGCUGCAGCCGAAACCUCAGACCUCACAGCUACAGCCAAAACCUCAGAUGGCACAGCAGCUGCAACCGCCCAAUAUGCCUCAAGUUCCGUUUACACAGCAACAAUCUUCCAAGACACAAAAAAUGCUUUGUCGUCUAUUAUCGCAGGAGGAUCAAAAGUGAAAAACCAGGUCUACCAAAUCUAUUAAGAAGUUCAAAAUAUAUCUGACUGGGAAUUUAGCGCCGCUGGUUCUUCCUCAGUUUAUCAGUGUUCGCCUUUUUCUUUGGGUGUGCCUUGUUCUUUCUUGGUUUUUGGGUUAGUCCUUUGAAUGCUUAUGUUUCAAGACGUUGUUCUCCUUUUUGUUCUGUUUUUUGUGAUCUUAGAACGCGUAUGACCAAUGGUAACUGUUUUAUCCCCCAUUCACGUGGAUUAUUUCCUUUUCGAUUGAAAAAGUAUGUGAUGCUAGGAUUCUUACUCGUAA